UGCCGCUUGCGAGGGCGUAUGGUGGAUGCCUUGGCAGACAGUACCGAUGAAGGACGUUUGAGGAUGCGAUAAUCCUAGGGGAGCCUCCAACAUGGCUUUGAUCCUAGGGUCUCCGAAUGGGGGAACCCGCCGGCCGUCAUGGGCCGGCACCGCCUAUGGGCGGGGGGUACGCAGGGAAGUGAAACAUCUCAGUACCUGCAGGAAGGGAUACUCCGUGAGUAGUGGCGAGCGAAAGCGGAUCAGACCAAACCGGUUGCGCGUGAUACCCGUCGGGGGUUGCGUUGCCGGUGUUGUGGGAUCACGUGUCCCGGUUCCGACGGGCCGGGCGGGAGUCAUAAAACGGCUUGCCAGGGGAACAGGCUUGAAGGCCUGGCCGUAGAGGGUGCCAGCCCCGUACCUGGACGUGAGCCGUCUUCCGAUCGUGUUGUCCCAAGUAGCGCGGGCCUCGUGGAAUCCCGCGUGAAUCAGCCCAGACCGUUGGGUAAGUCUAAGCAUACCUGUCUGACCGAUAGCGUACCAGUACCGUGAGGGAAAGGUGAAAAGCACCCCGGGAGGGGAGUGAAACAGUUCCUGAAACCGUGCGCCCACAAACCGUCGGAGCCUCUGUGUGGGGUGACGGCGUGCCUAUCGAAAAAUGAGUCUGCGAGUCAGUGGCGGGUGGCGAGCAUAAGCCGUGUGGCGUAUGCGUAGCGAAAGCGAGUCUUAAAAGGCGUUUUUAGUCGCUUGUCCUGGACCCGAAGCGGGAUGAUCUAGCCCUGGGCAGGUUGAAGCGCGGGUAAGACCGCGUGGAGGACCGAACCCACCUGGGUUGAAAACCGGGGGGAUGACCUGGGGCUAGGGGUGAAAGGCCAAUCAAAUUCCGUGAUAGCUGGUUCUCUCCGAAAUGCAUUUAGGUGCAGCGUCGGUCGAUUGCGUCGCGGGGGUAGAGCUACCGGAUGCUUGCGGGCCCUUGUUGGGUACCAACAGCAGCCGAACUCCGAAUACCGUUGACGUGUAUUCCGGCAGUGAGUCGGCGGGGGAUAAGCUCCGUCGUCGAGAGGGAGACAGCCCAGACCGUCGUCUAAGGUCCCGAAGCGUGUGCUAAGUGGGAAAGGAUGUGGAGUCGCAUAGACAGCCAGGAGGUUGGCUCAGAAGCAGCCAUCCUUGAAAGAGUGCGUAACAGCUCACUGGUCUAGUGGUUCCGCGCCGACAAUGUAGCGGGGCUCAAGCACACCACCGAAGACGCGGCAGUAUUUUGUACUGGGUAGGAGAGCGUCCCAUGAGGGGCGAAGCGGCCGUGUGAACGCGCCGUGGACUUCAUGGGAGUGAGAAUGCAGACAUGAGUAGCGAGAGACGGGUGAAGAUCCCGUCCGCUGGAUGACCAAGGGUUCCAGGGCCACGUUCAUCGUCCCUGGGUGAGUCGGGUCCUAAGGCGAGGCCGACAGGCGUAGUCGAAUGGAUGAACGGGUGGAUAUUCCCGUACCGACCAUGGACCGGCAAAACCGAGACGGUGAGUACUAACCUCCGCCUCGUGGUGGUUCCUUCCUUCGGGUUGGUGUCGCCGCGUGGUGUUGGGAGCGUAGCCGCAGUAGGUCAGCGCAGGGGUGACACGGAAUGGGAGCCGGCCGCGGAGGUGGUUUUCCGUGGUCAAGCACGCAGCCAGUCAUGUAGGCAAAUCCGCAUGGCGCGCAUGGCGAGGUGUGAUGAUGGGAGCCGUUGUGGCUCGAUAUCCGGUUGUCCAGGCCGUCGAGAAAAGCCUCGGCGUGAGGGCCAUGGCCGCCCGUACCCCAAACCGACACUGGUGGUCAGGUAGAGAAUACCAAGGCGAUCGAGCGAAUCCUGGUCAAGGAACUCGGCAAAUCACUCCCGUGCCUUCGGUAUAAGGGAGACCCGCUGGGGUGAACCGGCUAGCCCGGGGAGCUUUGGUGGGUGGCACAGACCAGGGGGUAGCGACUGUUUACCAAAAACACAGGUGCAUGCGAAGGCGAAAGCCGCUGUAUAUGCACUGACGCCUGCCCGGUGCCGGAAGGUUAAGAGGAUCCGUCAAUCCCUUCGGGGACGAAGCGGUGAAUUCAAGCCCCGGUAAACGGCGGUGGUAACUAUAACCAUCCUAAGGUAGCGAAAUUCCUUGUCGGGUAAGUUCCGACCUGCACGAAUGGCGUA
rnacentral:rRNA from 1 species